AUGGGUGCAGGUAAAUCGUCAGCGUAAGUGUUCAAUGUGCUUCCUGUGGUACCUGGUUACUGAUACAGUGUUCUGUACAGUGGCUGUAAGGGAACUGCUGCUGACCAUGUCGGUUUGAAAAGAGACAGAAACAGAAGAAUCGCCAGGCUCGUAGCGAUUCACCCGCAUGCCUUGUAAACCUAAUUGCUAUACUCAGGGGUGGCACUGAUCUGCAAGUAAAUCUUGGUCAUAAGCACUUCUCUGGGUUUUCCAUUCAUAUCUCUUUUUUGAAGGGAGAGACUGAAUCUAAGGAUACCCUGGAUUCUGAACGUCUGAAGGUGCCUUAUUAACUAAAACGGAGACAGAAGACAGCAGAUGUGAGAGGGGCUUUCCGAAGCUGCGCUUCCUCUUCUCUCUGACUUCAUCUUUUAUUGCUCCUCUCUUUAUAUACAUAGGCCUGAAGAACCGUUAUGGGCAGGGGGAUUUCUCGAGAUUAGACUUCAGAAUUAUUGGCAGUCAAGUUUUAGAAAAUCAUGGACAUGUUUCCUUAAUAUCUAACUUUUCCUUUUCUCGUGCCAGUGGUAUGUUUCAUGGCAUUUCUGUAGAUUUUGACACGAUCAGCCGUAUAGUAAACCAGAUGAAAUAUGUAAACUGCAAGCUAGCGACUUCUCUCUCUCUCUCUCUCUCUCACACACACACACCUCUUUGUCUUCUCUCAUAGUUUAUGGUGGAAAGCAACACCUACGAUCCCCAUGGUAUGGCUGGGGUGUGAAUGUGGCAGUGCGAUUGAAGUGACGGCCACUGAGAAGGACACGAGUGACCGUCUGUCCUUUGGCUACAGUUGGCGGGAAAUCUGGGGGCAGAGUGCUCGGUGCUUUCAGUCUGCGUCUAUCUUUGCCGCCUCCUUCCCAUCUCCCUGCAGCCACAUUUCCAUACGGGAUACUCAUCUGUGGGGGGUUUUUUCUCGUUACUUUGCCCCUCCCCCGCCCACCUCCCCUCGUCACAAAUACCCAGCCGUGCCCACAGACACACACUUCACCCACACACUUCUUGACACCCACACAUUCAAUAAAGCGACUCACCACCAUAGAGAAAACACACGUAUCCAUGCACAGAUACAUUCUACAAACACGCCCACCCAAAGACAUAUUUACACACACACUCUUCCCCAUCAACACACAGCCUUGCACACAGACAUUCCUACGAACACACACCCUAUACAAAGGUUCUAACAGCCUUCCUUCACAAACACACCUUUUAAACACAGACACACGUUCUCAUUCUCGCAAACGCCCAUGCUUCUACACGGUGAGUCCUCACAGUCUCACUAGUACAUGCCCAUAUCUGUACACACACAAUAAUACCAGACCUUCUUUCUUUCUAUGUUCUCCACAGGCUCAAACCCCCCCCCCCCAACUUUUUAAAACACCCCCCUUCUAGCUCUCUCUUUGCAAUGGCUCCCACUAAGCUCCAUAAAUCCCUCCUAAAAUCCAUUUACUAAAACUGUCGAUGCUGUCCCCCUUGUUUUGAGUCCAGAGCACUGAAAAACAAAACCAGCCCUCCUUCCAGAAAUCAAUGAGCUGACGAGAGGUCCCUCUACAAGUUUGCAAGUGAAAGAGGUUUUGGUUUCAUUUUGUUUUGACUUGGAGAAAAGUCCCACAUAAUGGCAAUGCCUCCCGAAACAAGACGCAGAAGAAACUGUUCCUCAAAAGUUAACUGGAUGAAAACGCUCUAGAAAACGCAACUUCUUGGGGCAAUUUUUGUAAGUUUCCAAAGAAAUGAGUGCUUCCCUCCUACUAUAGGACAAUGUAGCCAUUGCUCUUCUUUAGACUAGACAUUUCUAAUUUGUUCCGUCUGUCAGAAGGGGACUAUGAGAGGGUUUGGUGCAAAUUCAUUAUCUCUGGCAACGCAUAACGUAUAGUAGGAACUGAAAAAGACCAUGGCAAUGGAUGAACAAUAGGGCUUCAGUUCAUCAGCAACAAAAGCGUUGGGGAAAUUGGUUGAAUUUCAGAGCACGUCCUCCUAAGCAGAGAGGGCUGGACUAGACCUUGGCCAAACCCCCCAAAAAACUUGCAAAGCCUCACGUACAACACUUCACUUUCUACUCUGGGGCUUAGGAAGCAAUAUGGAAGAAAAAAAACUUUUUUUUUCUAUUUCUUCCGUUUUUCUGGAUAGAAGCUCUUUCUACUUAUUUUAAAACGAACCAUGCAAGAAUUAUACCAUGGAACUAAGCUGCAGUUUCAAAUAAAGGUGAUGAUCUGCAUUUCUGGAGACGUGAAGGAACCCGCUGUCCAUGUUUUAAGGGGGGCUUAACCGUGGAAUCUUUGUUUGCAGCCGGAGAUUCAGCCCUUACAUCUAGAUCGGGGGGUCAAAUGUUUCUUAUAAGAAAAAAAAAUUCAGAAGAAGGAUCACAAGGGAUGACGAUCAUCAAGAAAUGAGUAGAAGAUGGCUUGUGACUAAUGUUGUAGAGAAGAAUGACUGAAAUGACUGUUUGGAAUUAUUCUGGAUUAGGCUAGAAUGAAGUCUCCUCUGCCAAUCUAAGGGCCUCUUUCCACAAACACACGUGAGAGAAACUUUAUUUAUAUGAAUAGUUCACUUGAGAUCAACUGGGACUAGUCACGAAAAAUGAAGUUUAGAACUGAUUCUUGACAUGUGAUGCACAUUUGUCAGGAGGUCAAGGUGAAUCAGAAUAAACAACUUCAAGAAAAUGCCAAAUUCAAGAAAAUAAAAGUAGCUUAAUAUGAUUUAAUACCAUUAAAGUGGUUAAGAUGAAAUUUCUUAAACUCUUUUUUGGAGGCUGGUUAUCAAUGACAUGGAUUUCUGAGGAACAAUUCCAGAGAUUUGCCUGAAUGAAAUAUGCUGAAACCAAAAAGAAAAGCUUGGUCUUUAUUAUCUAUGUUACAGAUUAGCUUGAAGGAAAUAAUUAUUACCAAUCUGUACCAUAACAGCUGUACUUAAAUGAAAUGUAACAUUUAAGGUUUGUGGAGCAGAGGAUGUUUUUUUGUUCUGGGCCUGUACAGCAUGCAGCACAAUGAGGUUCUAAUCCAUGAUUGGGGAUCCUAGAUGCUCCCAUAAAAUAAAUAAUAAUAUAUUAAUAAUAAUAUUUAUUUUAUUUGGGUUAUUGAUUUAAUUUUAUUUUUGAUAAUUUAUCAUUAUCUCUUGGAGCUAAACUGUCAAUGGCUCAUUUAUCAGAUGUGCCACUCCCAAUGCAUAUGUAGUCCUAAGGCCUGAUUCUCAACUUGUAGAAAUAUAAGGCCCCAAUCUGGUAGUCAGAUCUGUGGGAACAGUACCUGGGGACUGUGCAGAGCCCACUGAUUUCAGCGCAGGUCCAGGCAGGCAUAAUUGUCAACCCACACAGAGCUGAUUGCAGGAAAGCAGCCUUGAAACAGAAGUGACUCUGCUGAAGUCAGAUGGAGUUAGACCUAGGUAAAACAGUGAUGUGAGCAAAAGGAGAAUAGGACCUAUAACACACACUCAUGUGCACAUUCAGUCAAAGAAAUAAAACAUCUGCACGUGUAACCCACACACCUUCUGGCUGUGGUGUUCUAGCCAAUCCAGUGGCACUGAGACCACUUAAAGAGAGAGGUAAAAUGAGUCUGCUCUACAGCCUUAGCUAAGAGGAAGUUGGCUUUUAGCUCAUGUGAUAGAGGCUCAUGCACUAAGCUCCACAGGUCCCAGGUUCAUUUCUGCCCACUGAUGACCAGAGUCUGUUGGCGUUACACAUGCAUAUGCACCUGAGGGAUAUGUAAUGGGUGGUGGACAUUUUGUGUCCUUCACCUGUUGCACUGGGCUUUGAAAAUAUGGCCCAUUUUAAUCAGUCCAGUAGUUUAGACAUCUGUUAGGUGUAAUUAGCAAAGAGAUAUCAAGGACAUUGAAGUUGGUUCAUUAGAAACCUUUUCAUUUUUUAUAAUUUUAAAAUGGUAAUCAACAGGGAAAAACAUACCAGAUUAUUGCUUAUAGGUGAAGUGUGACUUUUCCAAUAUUUUAAGAUUAUAUUUUAUUAGUUCAAGAAAAAUAUGAUUAUAGAAAAUAUAUAUUUACCACUUCUUAAAAGAUUUUGCAGAAUUUUCUGUCUUCCCUCUGUUUCUUUCACAUUAUAUUUUACCUUUUCUGGUAUUUAUGCUUUUUGUUUCACAUGUUCAGCAAUCACAAUAUAUCUUAUACUCAUGGUUUUCAAUCAAAAUAUAUUUAAAAUUGCAUUUAAUAAAUACCUUUAAAAUAGUGUUAACAGAAUUUUAUUUUUGUUGAUAUUUCUGGCUUCACUAUAUGUUGAAAUUAAUUGGUUUGUUAGGGGUCAAUCCUACAUUCCUAAUUCAAGAUAAAACUUCCAUUGAAAUCAAUGGGAAGCCAAUUGUCUUGAUAUGAAUUUCAAGGUUGAGCCUUUAACUUAGUUUUAUGAGUGUAACAGAGCCUUAAAUAAUUUUUCUUACCAUUGUUUGGCUGAACAUUUUUUCCACCAGUCUAGUUUAACUGGUGGUGUAAUUAAUAUGUAUAAUUCCAAAUUUUGUAAUAAAAUAAACUGCAUAUAUUGUUAAGACA